rnacentral:lncRNA from 1 species
AUUGAGAGGUCAGCAAGAUUGCCUUGGCUGGGAACCAAACUCAUCCUGGUUUCCUGUCUUGGGAUCUCAAGGGGCUAGAAUGAGCUGCUAUUCCAAGGGAGAGAAGAAAGCAACCCCAGGAAGCCUGGCCCCGAAGACUGUGAGGAAACAAAGCCAACAGGAUCUGCACCACCUCUGCCUCCCGGACAUUGGAAGGACUAAAUAAGAUCAGUGGCUGGUGUCCUGUCUCCAUCCUGCCUGGGAUAACACUGAAAAUCGCCUUAACUUCCUACGUCCUGAGACCUCAUUCCUAGAUGGAACGAGGAAUGGUAGCGACCACGAUCCUCCCCUCCCAGGAUCUGCGCCACAAGGGAAGAUCAGAACCUUCAGCUGCCAGAAGCACUGUGGCGGAAAUGUAGGUCCCCAUCCAGGCUGAUCUGAGCUUGGCUUUCUGGAGCACGCAAACCUCGAUGCACUGAACUGCUGCCGGACCUCACCUUGCCAGGCCCACUGUGCUCACACUCACACAUCGCUCCAUCCACUGGAGGCUGCAGAGGCAAGAUCCACCAAGAAGAUGGUCUUCCUGUCCAGGAUGCCCUUCCCUGAGAGAAGUGUAUUUAAUCUUAAAUUCAGAUGUUUGUUUGUCUACCCACUUAAAACACCCUGUUGAAUAAAAAUUACUCAAGGAACACAUGGAGGCUUUGUCCAUGUAAAAGAA